GGUCCAGCCUGGGGACCAGAUCUCUGGGCCUCGGUUCGUUCUUGUCGCAGUUCUCAGAACUUCUGAGAACCGUGCUGCUGUCGCGCCGUCAUGCUGCAGUGCAGACCCCUGCAGCACCUGCAGCAGCGCUGCACAAACACCACCUGCUGCACGCGUCCCCCGACCAGACCUUCUCCUGCAAUCUUGCAAUCACCGAAUUUGCAGUUGGAGGCGAGAGGCGUGAGUCCACUCGUCCCCCAGAGAUAUGGCGCACCCAUGACAGUGAGGGCGAGGGCAGCAGCGAGGGCUACGAC